UAUUUGGUCUCCACAUCUGAUCGGUAUUCUCUCUCUUUUUUAUACCUCCCGCCUCGUCCUCUUUUCACUCUUACGGAGAAACCCUAGCCUAAAUACUUGCUUCCUCUGAUCUUCCUUUUCUCUGUUUUUUUUCCAUGUUUAUUGUGUUUACGGGCUCAUGUUUUUUGUGUUUGUUUAUUGCAGUAGUUCAUGUUUACAAUCUCAAAACAGAGUGAUGGCCCUUCCGUAAUGGGUUCGUUUUGGUUCAUUGUUUUUUACUAUAUAAAGCUAGGGUUUCUGAUUUUAAUUAUUUGAUUUAUACUGCAAUCCUGUUUGAUGUGUGUUUUGAUAUUGCAGCAUAUCACAGGUUUUAGAGGUAAAAAUUGAUUAAAAUAAUUCAUAAGGGUUUGAUUUCCUAUUACUAAUUAAUGAUGUCUGCUUUAUAUUAUAUUUCUACCUAUGUAGUUCUGAUUUCCAUCUUUAGCACCAACUUCUGAUUUGGAGUAUAUUCACUUUUGAAAUAUUUCGUGUUUCCGUUGCUGUUUAUUUUUGCAGGUUGCAUAAUCUUGGAAAAAGAAAAGAGCAGUUUAUAGGGCAUCAACUCUUACAAUUUUGAAGAUUUAUAAACUUGGUGUGUGUUGUCAGGAUUUAAGAACACUCCAAAGGUGAAAACUAAACCUGCGAACUGCUUAAAGAUUAUAAAUCCAAGAGAAUCAAGUCUUUAAUUCAGGUAACUCUUUCUCUCUAGCUCUCUCAAAAUGGUUCUUUACUUACCGAUUCUUAUGAUCAAAAUUUGUAGACUGGAGUCUCAAAAAGGAACUCAUAUUUCAACUGUAGAUUUUACGAAUUACUGUAAGGCUAUAAUUCCACUCUUCUUAAUAUAGUGGUGUAUUGGUUUAUUGAUUCUGUGCUUAUAUGGAUUCAAGUCUUCUUUCUAUUAUUAUUGAUGUUCCAGAUUGUUCUUUUUUAUUGCGUUCUUGAAAUGUAUUUUUUUCUUCUUCCAGAAACCCAUAAAUGUAUACCUAUGUGCUCAGUUCUUAAUUUCUCAUUGCUCACCUUUUCUUGCUUUUCAAUUAGUAGGUAGAGACAGUCCUUUUUGUGACAAAUUCUUAGAAGCUGCCAGAUUUUUUGGUAUAUGUCGGUUUGUCCCCGAGAUCGUUCUUUGGCGAUAUAAAGAAACGAAGUAAAGUACUAGGAAUGCAAUUAUUUUGAUAUAGAAACAGUAUAUAUAGCCUUUUGAGUUUCAUUUUCUUCAUAGUUAGAUAGGUUGCAAUUUGGAAGAAUAAGACGUAAGUUUUGUAAUUUGUGACAGGGUAAUCAAAACUACAAUAUUAUGGUUA